UACAGAGGUCCCGAGCGUUGUUCGGAUUUAUUGGGCGUAAAGGGUGCGUAGGCGGCGGAGUAAGUUGGGUGUGAAAUCCCGAGGCUCAACCUCGGAAUUGCAUUCAAUACUGCUUCGCUCGAGUACUGGAGAGGAGGCUGGAAUUUACGGUGUAGCAGUGAAAUGCGUAGAUAUCGUAAGGAAGGCCGGUGGCGAAAGCGAGCCUCUGGACAGUUACUGACGCUGAUGCACGAAGGCCAGGGGGAGCAAAACGGGG
rnacentral:rRNA from 1 species